CACGUAUAGAUGGACAAGAAUAGGCUCCGGCUUAGUGUCUUAGCAGGCGAUUACUCCGCGGCGCUCGAAGCGCGUCGCGGUAUUUCGCGUAUUGUAAUUUCAACACGAGCGGGGUCAAAUCCUUUGCAGACGACUUAGCUGUGCGAAACGGUCCUGUAAGCAGUAGAGUAGCCUUGUUGUUACGAUCUGCUGAGGGUAAGCCGUCCUUCGCCUAGAUUUCCCCAAUGCGCGCCCUGCGAGACAGGGCCGCGUAGGGGUUGCGGUGCGCUUGUGUAGGGUAGGCCGGGUUGACUUGGCGUGUUCUGUUGGACGCGCGCAGGGAAACCGGUCAUGCUGCGCGGCGAGUUUCGUAUAGGGUAGCCCGGUCCGACUUGGCGUAUUCUCGCGUGCCUCGCGGGGCGCGCGGUGCAGCUACCCUACAGCAGAGGUGGUGUAGGGUAGCCCGGUUUGACUUGGGCGUAUCCUCGUCGGUCCGCGGUGCGCGGUGCGGGGCGGGCGGUAUAGGGUAGGUCGGUCUGACUUGGUGGGAUCGUCGUGCGCUUCGUCAGUUCGCGGGGUGCGGUACAGGGUAGGUGGUAUAGGGUAGCCCGCUUUGACUUGGUCGUAUUGCGGUCCGCUUUGUCAGUUUGCAGGACGCGGUAUAGGGUAGGUGGUAUAGGGUAGGCUACCCUACAGCGCAGGUGGUAUAGGGUAGGUAGACGGUAUAGGGUAGGUUGCGAAAUGAGUAUAGGGUAGGUCUCGUGGUGUAGGGUAGGCUCGGUUGAAGUCUCCCGCUGGUUAGGGGAAAUGCGUGCGAAAUGGUUUUGCUGUUUGGUGGCCGUGAGUCGAUUUUUUUGUUUUCCCAUACAAAUGAAUUUUGCGGAAAAUAAAAAGUGGCCCACGAGCCCGGUCUGGCGUGCGCCCCACCAAAAGCCCGUCGGUGGGUAUAUGAGGGAGGCUCGCCCGCCCGGCCGGGGCCCACUGAAAACUCCCGGGUAGGUAAAAGUUGGUGAGUUGUUAGUGGGCGCGGCUGGCUACUGAAUUUUUUCAGUGGAGGGAUUUUUCCCCAGUGGGUGCGUUUCAGCGGUUGGCCCACUGUAAAUUCCGCCCAGCGGGUGCGUUCCAGCGGUCGGCCCACUGCCAACUCGCGUGCGCGGUGGGCGGUAUAGGGUAGGUCGGUCAGACCCGGUAUAGGGUAGGCGUAUGGUAUAGGGUAGCCUACCCUACAGUGCAGACAUGGUAUAGGGUAGCCUACCCUACAGCGCAGAUGGUAUAGGGUAGCCCGGUCCGGCUUGUCGCACCCUCGUCCGCCUCGUCGGGACGCCAGACGCCGGACGCGGUAUAGGGUAGGUCGAAAUUUGGUAUAGGGUAGGCCGCUGGGUGUAGGGUAGGUCGCGGAAUCGGUAUAGGGUAGCCCGUUUGGUAUAGGGUAGGUGUCGAAAUCGGUAUAGGGUAGGUCGAAAUUGGGUGGGUUGGUGCUUUGUCGGGGUUUUGGGUAAAAGUGUAUAGGCUGUGUGGUUGAGAUCCGGAAAAGUCGAAAAUGUUGAAAACACAUCCGUUAAAAAAAUUAAAACAGCGAUUGAGCGCGCUGUAGCAGCCCUACGGCUACAGAGCCUAGUGCACUGUAAUCAGGGCGCUUCAGUGCAUAUAGUGCCCCAAAGCCCGCCUCGGUGUAGGGUAGUUGGUAUAGGGUAGGUGGUAUAGGGUAGGUUACCCUAUACCCCCGAUGGUGUAGGGUAGGUCGGUCCGCCUUGGUGCGCGCCGGAAGCCAGCUACCCUACAGCGCUCUUCGGCGCCGCACAGCGCACGCUACAGGCGUCGCCCGCCCGCGGGACCAGUCGCAUUCGACUCGCAGGCCUCGGUUGCGUCGACUGAGCUCGCGAAGAAAAAAUGCGUGCGAAAUGGUUUUGCUGUUUGGUGGCCGUGAGUCGAUUUUUUUGUUUUCCCAUACAAAUGAAUUUUGCGGAAAAUGAAAAGUGGCCCACGAGCGAUUCCUGGCGUGCGCCCCACUAAAAGUCCGUCGGUGGGUAUAUGAGAGGGGGGCAAAAAAGCCCGGCCGGAAACGGUCGGGCUUUCGAGCCUCCGCAACACUCUUAGUGGUCCCGUAAGGCGCCGCGACUUAUUUUCAGUACCUGAUCUUGCAGAUUCCCACUGCGUGGCCCUCUGAACAAGCUUGCAGGCUCCGGCUUCGCUAGCGGGGGGUUCAUAGUGGGCGUCGACCUCCACGAAAGCGACCGCCCAGGCGGUACGGCGUACUGGGGAUGCCUGGCUAUAGCGGACGUAGGCUUGCCUGCGACCGCUGCCGGUUGGGCUCUGUGGGUAACUGGCCGAUGGCUAGACCUACCAACUGAGCAUCGGGAGGCAACCUCUCGGGACUGACACCGCAAUGGUAGAUGUCCCGUGCAGCGUCCUCCUCUUGGGGCCCCUAAGCCACACGGCCCGCUACGGGUGCGGUGCGGCGGACGGAAGCCCUGGGGAAUUUAGAGGGGGAAAUCGGAAUGCCGACCACGGCGCUGCUGGCCUCGCCGACAGCGCUGUGUGCGGCGCGCCUUCACGGGCGCCGUCCAGUAACUUACCAUCUCUCCGGCGC
rnacentral:misc_RNA from 1 species